rnacentral:rRNA from 1 species
GUCCACGCCGUAAACGAUGAGAACUAGAUGUUAGGGGGCUUGUCCUCUUAGUAUUGCAGCUAACGCGUUAAGUUCUCCGCCUGGGGAGUACGGCCGCAAGGUUAAAACUCAAAGGAAUUGACGGGGGCCCGCACAAGCGGUGGAGCAUGUGGUUUAAUUCGAUGCAACGCGAAAAACCUUACCUACCUUUGAAUCCACAGAAUCUUCUAGAGAUAGAGGAGUGCCUUCGGGAACUGUGAGACAGAUGCUGCAUGGCUGUCGU